AAACAGGCGAAUCAUCUAACUGCCAGUGUGGGGCUCUGUUGAUGGCCUAUGAUUACGGUGGCCGACGGGGGAUGAAGAAAAACAGAUUCUCAAAGAUGGGCAACUGAGAUAUCUGCAGGGUUUAGGUGGAAAAACACAUGAUCAUGGUUUGAUUGUGCUUAAACAUACACACUUAGAAUGUAAAAACAGCACCUGCAUCUCUGUUUACACGUCACACUCUUGAGUAUCAGUUCUAUCUGUCAGCAAAGGAAAAUAAUGCAGCCAUGAUUCCUGAACAUACAUUCCUCAAAGCAAUCUCUUCACCUCAUAAAACACCAACUUUUGAUCAAUAUAGUCAGGUUACCAGAGCUCUUAUUUAAAAAUCUGUGAAAAAGCAUGUUUUCCAAAGUGAAAGAGGACCGAUUACAGACAGCUGUGGCACUCCAAAUGUGCCUCUCCACCCCAUGGUUAGGACAGCAGUUAGUGAGGGACUUCCUGCAUGGAAAGCUGUGUAUGUUUUCCUUCAGUGAAUUGAACAUCCUGCAGAUCUUAAAUUCCAGUCAACAGUAAACUCCCUGACCUCUGAGCACAAAAUUAGGCACAUCAUAUAAGCAAGAGACAAAAGGGAAAGGGAAAGGAGGGACUGAAAAACAAAACAGAAAGAUAGAGAUACAAAAGAUGACAAAUUAAGAAUGAGAGAUAAUGCAAUUUUGUAUACACAUUUUCUUUGUAAGUUUGUAUGAAAAGGAUUACAGGAAAAGGACACUAGUUUACAUGAUUAAUUAUAAGCUAUAUGACUAAAACAGUUACAUUUUCAAUAGCAUUAUAUAAUAUAUAUAAUGUAAUCAGGUUAAUUUAGUCAAAUUAAUAUUUUUUACCAAUUUAUUUAUGUUUCCACUUGAAACAAAUUUGUGGUUACAUGAUAACAAACUUUUUUUUUUUUUUUUUUUUUUUUGCAGUAUAACUAAUCACAGGAAAAAUGGGACAAUGAAUAAAGCAACCCAUAUAAAUAGAUCUAGUCAUUGUAUUGUAAUGCUCGUAAACAUCCAGACUCUUUUUACAUAUAUGUGAGAUCCAUUACUCUAUUAUGACACAUGCAUGCAAUAUUAGGGAUCAUUCUGUAUUAUACCAUUCUGAAGUCUGAUGUUUUCUAUGUCUGAAAACACAAUUAUGUUUUUAGCCAUGAAAGUGUCAGAUUUCAUCUUUUAUUACAUGGACAGGGUUGUCAGUUGCAACAUAUGCGGUGAACCCUAUCUGCCAAUGUGUUUAUUGAGCUAUUAUCAAUUGACUGAUGAAACAAACUACUCACCAGUCAACAUAUGUUUCUAAUUUGCUGGAUUUAUUUGAUUUUAAACCACAUGUUUUCUGUUUUAAGUGAUUAUGAAGGUUUGCAAGAGAGCUUUCUUUGCGGAUCACAAACAAUAUGAUUUUACAAUUGUAUGUUUUUGGCAUUAGGGGCAGUGGCAAUUUUGUCCUGGGGAGAUGAGAGGCAUUUUUUUCCCUUCUAUGAGGUAUAUUUUACUAUUUAAUAAACAUGGAAAUAAUAAAGUUAAUAAAUGUAACUUAUGCCACCUCAUCCCACAAUCACAAAAUAUAUUAAUUUGCUAUAUAUUCAGUUUUUAUUUUUUACCUCCUUCCUCUUGUCCUGAAAUAUCCCCUUAUUGCUAGUCAUCUAUAAGAAAAAGCUUAAAGGUAAGUGUCAUCCCCUCAUUACCUUGAAGAGCUUGUUCUGCCUUAUUUAUGUUCCCCACUCCCUGUGGUUUAGUUGUGUAGCAGCACCACAAGUACACAACAACUGAUAAAUUUAGAGAUGCCAUCCUAUAAUGUAAAUACUAAAUGCAGAGCAGUAAUCUUCUAUGUAUUUUUUAUAUGCAGAAUGUAUAUGAUGUUGAAGUUUGAUAUAUUUGAAUGCCUCCAAAUAAAUUACUUUGCAUAUGUGCAUAUUAACAUCUUUUCUUCUGUUUCUCAUUGCCUGCGUUUCUCUUUGUCUGAAAUCAUAUGCUUUAUCUGGAGUAUUACUGUGUACAGCUCUCAAAGGACAGAGAUGUUUCCCAGAGCAGAUCACAUGACCCUAUCAUGUGCUAUCAUAGAAGUUGUUCUCUUAUUGGAAGCAGGUCUCCAAAGAAAUGCACUCCUGCAUCACAGUGCCUGAUCACUGGAACAAUACAUUGGGCUGCGGGAUUGCAGCUGUGUGGCGGGUGCCACCACACUGUUCAUGUCUUGCCUGUAUGUGUGUGCCUGUGUGUGCGAGCGAGCGAUCCCUUGGGGCUCUCUCCCUCAGCCCUGGCUCCCUGAUUCGGCAGAAUGCCAGCGUUUGCUGCUUCCCACCUCCUUCCCGGAGACUCCCGGCCAUAAUAGACGGUAAUGGCCUAAGACAAAUCAACCCGUUUCUUGUAAAAAUAGCAGCAAAUAACCCCUGACUUUGCCUCACGAGCGUAAACCAGAGAGAAGCUCGAUUCUGACAGCCACAUUCACAGCGGGCAUUAACCCCAGGAGAAAGCUCGCGCUCCACUUGAACAAAGCCAUAAGUCUUGAAUACUUACAUCCCCCACUCACAGCUCAGAAUGGAUUGGUAAUGACCGACUGUCUGGCUGUGCAGGUUAUAUGCGCUUUGCCUCGGCCAAUCACAGGAACGAGUGACCUCAGAGAUGUUUACAACACCAUCCUGCCAAGCAACAGUUUCUGUGCAUUAGUUGAACACAUGGAUAUCAUAUUUAAGCACCACAGUGAGAAGCCUAACAAAUGUAGCCUAUAAACACUCACCCCUGACUGUGUUUGCUAGCUCAGGGGCUGUUGUUGUGAUGUUGCAGGCCUGGGCAGAGGAUGAGAGAGUGUGUGGAGCUCUGGCCAGGACCCUAUAUGUGGACUCUGAAGGGCUUGGAACACAUAAUAUGCAGAAACACACACACACACAAAAAGAUUAAACAAAAUGUACAGUCAGAGCUGAUGUGCAUCCUCAGUCAAGUGGUGAUUCCAAAUCAGUAGUUUAGAAAUGUUCUGUCUGAGUGCAAUACUUCAAAUUAACUGUAGGCAAUUACACAUUGAACAUGUCACAUGAUCAUGAGUGCCGUAAUUCUCCUUAUAAAACAGGUAACUAAUAUUACAUCACCCCAGCUAAAAUGGCCCGUGUUUGAAUAUUUUCAAGUGAAAACGCAUUGCUUUGUAACAUUUAUAUGUAUGCAUUUGGCAAACACUUUUAUCCAAAGCGACUUACAUUGCCUUCAAGGUACACAUUUACAUUUUUAUCAGUUCUUGCUUUCCCUGAGAACCAAACCCAUGACCAUUGUGAGCUACAGAAAAAUAAGCCUGUGAUAUUACAGACUAGUUUCUCUUUGUCUCGCUUUCUUUUUUUUUUUCCUUCUUUCUUAUACCAUGGUAAGGACAGAAUAGUUUAUAAGGAAAACAAUACAGUCAUUUAAGAACAAACUAAAGAUAUUUCAAUUUCAUAUUUGACACAUUUUAAAACAUUUUUUUUUAAAAAGCAUCCAUUCUUUUUAUAUACAUUUUUAAAUAAAACCUUUGACUAGUGAUAUUAAAUGCAGUGUAGUCCAGUAAUUUAUGCUUACAAGACAAUAAAGUCUUACACAGAUUAAAUUACGGUGGUUCUUCACCCCUCAAGUCUUGAAUGACCAAUUCGACACCUUGCAUACACAAUAUGAUUGUGUCUUAGUUUUAAAAGAGAAAAAAGUACAUUUCAGUUAUACAAUUUUGUUAUGAAUACACUCAUCCUAUUCCAUUUACCAUUUUUUUUUUUUUUUAAAGAUGUACUCUUUCAGUUUUGAGUUCCCCAUCUCUGUUUGUAUGAGCAGAAUCAUUUACUGUCCACUGAAGGCACUGCAGUGUGAACACUCAAAAGACUUUUUUUUUCCCACAGACCAAAUCAAUCCUAAUGCCCUUUCAGCUCUGUCUAGAAACAAAGUCCUUCAACACUGAUGCUGUGGGUGGAAUUAGGUAAUCUCAGCUAUGAUACUAACUCAUUGCUAGCCUCUUCCCAGGCUCCUUGCUGUCAAGAGCUGUGUUCCUCUCAGAAAAACAACAGUUCUCAGGGGUCCUUACAUCCUUAAGUGGCUCCAGAAAAGGUUAGUUGUCAGGUAAUUGUCCAGCUGCGGUUUGGCUUAUCUUAAUCACAGUGCUUCAACAUAAGCCUGGGUCUGUGUUAUGAAGAGGCUAACGGUGCUAAAGGGGUGGCUAGCUGGGGGAUUUUGUUGUUCUUUUUCUCUUUUUGUGAAUGCCUGGUGUGCUGAGAUAGCCAGAGCAAAGUAUAGCAAGUUAGCGUCAAGCUACAAAACAUAAUGUGGACAAAGUGUUGGACUACUGUUGAUACACACAACAAUAUUUCAUGCAGAAGAAAAACAAAAAGAACAAAUGGAACGGAAACACAGCAACACCUUUGAGCCGUGUAGAACCAAACAAGCAAGUCAAGGCGCAAUCCAUUUGUCGUGGUUUGUUAUGUAUAUCUGUAAAGUGCAGAAACUUGAGGCUUUGUGAAGCCUUUGAUGUUGGCACUGAGUCACUCUUUAAGGGGACAGGUUGGAGAAAACUGUAUUCAGGAUCCAUAACGCUAUACAGGGUCCUUUGGUAACAUUAAACAAAAUAACAACAACUAAGAAGGCCUUUUACAAGGGUCAGCAAAUGCAACCAAACAUCUAUUAACUCAGUACUUCGAAGCCAAAUUAAAAUAUACAAAACAAGCACAGAUCUCUGAUCAUAGAAGCGCUAAAACUGUAAACCGAGUUCAUUCAACCUUUGCAGCAUUUAUUCUGAUAGUAGUUUGCAGUGGUGACACAUAGUCUGCUGUCAUUUUGCUCCAACGACGUCAAAGGUCGAACACAAACUAUAAAAUAUUUGUCGGGGGUCCAUCAAUAAUCCUGACAUGCGGACCCAUACAGAGGCAGAAUGAACUGUCUCGACAAAAGCAUCUGGUACACAUGUUGACCCAGAGGCCAAAAGGUUAGCAGCCAGACUCCUCUACCCAUCCCCACUAUGCUUUCAUAUGUUCAUUUGAUGGUCGCUGUGGCAAUUAUAAAGGUAUACUUCAGCCAGGUCUAAUGGACUAGGGGCAAAGAGCAAAGCCUUUACAGUGGGGACUCAAGUCAAAGGUUAGCAUGGCCAUAAGACUGAUUAUGGAGCAUUCGAUGAAAUGGAAAGACGCGGGCAGCGCACAUGCUGAACUGCUCAUCUUUAUGCAUAUCUUAACUAUGAACAUGUCUUAUGGAAAACACAUUAAUGAUCAUUUUAGUUGUCAUGCAGUAGAUGUUGUUUUUGUUGUCUAGAUUGCCACCGGCUUUUAAUGACUAUUAAAUAUGAAUGGCCAAGG